GGUGAGAGCUUGUCGAUGUGAGAGCUCAGAUAAGGAAGGCACCAUGUGACAGACAGUAUCUACUGUGGAAGCAUGAAACUUCUGGGGCCUUAAGAUCUUGCAUUCCCAGGAGGCCAGACCUCUAUAUCUGUUUUGCUUCCAUACCUCCUGCAUCAUCAGCCAUCCGUGAGCAUCUGAUGAGCACAACGUGGUGAACACAGAAGGAAAGCUGCACCUGCACCAAGCUCCAAUGGUUGACUUUGAUGGUGGGAACAGGGCUGCGUGCAGCUCCAUACACCCCAUCCUUAGAACAUGCUCUUGCAAACCAUCUAUCCCCAGGAGGUGAACUUUCCAGUGUUCUCAAACAGAAUCCGGGCUGUUGUGGCUGCUGAAGGUCAUAAGAAUGGCAGAAAAGGCAUGCGGAGGGUGUCAUUUAAGCUGUUCCUGUUGGAUCUCUAUUAUAGAUUAGUAAUAGGUGCCCAGCUAAGGAGACCUUUGGAAUCCAACAAGCCAUCCUCAAAAACAAAGUACCCUGCCAACAGUUUUCAUGUCUCCACUUAAAAGCAGUGGGUAUACUGCUGUUGUCUUUCUCACUGCACGUGACCACAUUAGGGGAAAAUGUGAACAGAAGUACAGUAGUAAUUUGAGGAAAAACUUCGUGUACCUGAACUUUGGGGAUAAAGAGAGGAUGUCCACUCCACUU
rnacentral:lncRNA from 1 species